CAGGUGGGCAGUUUGACUGGGGCGGUCGCCUCCCAAAAGGUAACGGAGGCGCUCAAAGGUUCUCUCAGUACGGUCGGAAAUCGUACGUAGAGUGUAAAGGCAAAAGGGAGCUUGAUUGCAAGACAUACAGGUCGAGCAAGGAUGAAAAUCGGACUUAGUGAUCCGGUGGUUCUGCGGGGAAGGGCCAUCGCUCAACGGAUAAAAGCUACCCUGGGGAUAACAGGCUUAUCUCCCCCAAGAGUCCACAUCGACGGGGAGGUUUGGCACCUCGAUGUCGGCUCAUCACAUCCUGGGGCUGUAGUAGGUCCCAAGGGUUGGGCUGUUCGCCCAUUAAAGUGGUACGCGAGC
rnacentral:rRNA from 1 species